UACGGGGGGGGCAAGCGUUGUUCGGAAUUACUGGGCGUAAAGGGCUCGUAGGCGGCCAACUAAGUCCGACGUGAAAUCCCAAGGCUUAACCUUGGAACUGCGUCGGAUACUGGAUGGCUUGAAUUCGGGAGAGGGAUGCAGAAUUCCAGGUGUAGCGGUGAAAUGCGUAGAUAUCUGGAGGAACACCGGUGGCGAAGGCGACAUCCUGGACCGGUAUUGACGCUGAGGCGCGAAAGCCAGGGGAGCAAACGGG
rnacentral:rRNA from 1 species